UUAGAGUUUGAUCCUGGCUCAGAUUGAACGCUGGCGGCAGGCCUAACACAUGCAAGUCGAGCGGUAGAGAGGUGCUUGCACCUCUUGAGAGCGGCGGACGGGUGAGUAAAGCCUAGGAAUCUGCCUGGUAGUGGGGGAUAACGCUCGGAAACGGACGCUAAUACCGCAUACGUCCUACGGGAGAAAGCAGGGGACCUUCGGGCCUUGCGCUAUCAGAUGAGCCUAGGUCGGAUUAGCUAGUUGGUGAGGUAAUGGCUCACCAAGGCGACGAUCCGUAACUGGUCUGAGAGGAUGAUCAGUCACACUGGAACUGAGACACGGUCCAGACUCCUACGGGAGGCAGCAGUGGGGAAUAUUGGACAAUGGGCGAAAGCCUGAUA
rnacentral:rRNA from 1 species